GACGAACGCUGGCGGCGUGCUUAACACAUGCAAGUCGAACGGAAAGGCCCUGCUUUUGUGGGGUGCUCGAGUGGCGAACGGGUGAGUAACACGUGAGUAACCUGCCCUUGACUUUGGGAUAACUUCAGGAAACUGGGGCUAAUACCGGAUAGGAGCUCCUGCUGCAUGGUGGGGGUUGGAAAGUUUCGGCGGUUGGGGAUGGACUCGCGGCUUAUCAGCUUGUUGGUGGGGUAGUGGCUUACCAAGGCUUUGACGGGUAGCCGGCCUGAGAGGGUGACCGGCCACAUGGGGACUGGGAUACGGCCCAGACUCCUACGGGAGGCAGCAGUGGGGAAUAUUGCACAAUGGGCGGAAGCCUGAUGCAGCAACGCCGCGUGCGGGAUGACGGCCUUCGGGUUGUAAACCGCUUUCGCCUGUGACGAAGCGUGAGUGACGGUAAUGGGUAAAGAAGCACCGGCUAACUACGU
rnacentral:rRNA from 1 species